UACGUAGGUGACAAGCGUUGCUCGGAAUCACUGGGCGUAAAGCGCACGUAGGCGGCUUUCUAAGUCAGGGGUGAAAUCCUGGAGCUCAACUCCAGAACUGCCUUCGAUACUGUUAGGCUUGAGACCGGAAGAGGUAAGUGGAACUGCGAGUGUAGAGGUGAAAUUCGUAGAUAUUCGCAAGAACACCAGUGGCGAAGGCGGCUUACUGGUCCGGUUCUGACGCUGAGGCGCGAAAGCGUGGGGAGCAAACAGG
rnacentral:rRNA from 1 species